rnacentral:rRNA from 1 species
ACGGCGUAUAAGGCGUAGGUGACGUACCUCCCGAUUCAGGAUAGCUACGGGAAACUGUAGGUAAUACUGGAUAACCCCUCCGGAAUUGAAAACCGGAGUGCAAAGGUGUGAUUCCGUCAGGAGAGCGGCUUACGUGGUAUUAGCUAGUUGGUGAGGUAAUGGCUCACCAAGGCUACAAUGCCUAGGGGGUGUUAGCGCAUGGCCCCCACGACUGGGACUGAAAUACUGCCCAAACACCUACGGGUGGCUGCAGUCGAAAAUCUUCAGCAAUGGGCGCAAGCCUGACCGAGCGACGCCGCGUGCGGGAUGAAGGCCCUUGGGUUGUAAACCGCUGUCAGAGGGGAUGAAAUGCGGGUGGGUUCUCCCAUCCGUUUGACAUAGCCUCAGAGGAAGCACGGGCUAAGUUCGUGCCAGCAGCCGCGGUAAUACGAACUGUGCAAACGUUAUUCGGAAUCACUGGGCUUAAAGGGUGCGUAGGCGGCCAGAUAAGUAAGGUGUGAAAGCCCCCGGCUCAACCGGGGAAUGGCGCUCUAAACUGUCUGGCUGGAGUGAGAUAGGGGUGUGCGGAACUUCCGGUGGAGCGGUGAAAU